rfam:Triticum urartu cultivar G1812 contig702998, whole genome shotgun sequence.
CAUAUACUCCCUCCGUCCCGAAAUAUUUGUCGGAGAAAUGGAUAAAAAUUGAUGCAUCUAGACCUAAAAUACAUUUAGAUACAUCCAUUUUUCCGACAAGUAUUUCUAGAUGAAGGGAGUAUAUA